rnacentral:lncRNA from 1 species
UAGCCAAUUGUUUUCCGUUGUUUUAAACUAUAUCGAAAAAUAAAUAAUUUUGAAAAAAUGUUGUGCCGAAAACUUUUGAAUCAAUCCAAGUAUGUAUAUAUACAUAUAUCAUUUCCCGUUUGUUAUCAAAUAUUAAAGAAGAAACCAUCUAGAUUUUUUCCAAAAUCUUGAGCGAUAUAUACAGUUAACUGUAUAUAUUUAAGAGAUCGUGUACCGUGGACUUAGGAGUGCGAGCGCACGCGCGCCUUACUCGGAGAGAGUGAAACGCUUAGACCGUAUAAAACGGACAUUACGCGCGUAAGCGAAGUUGCAUCUAGCUAGAUUGUCGAGACUUUAGCGUUUCGUAGACCACCGCCACCGCCACCGUCAUACCAACAUAUACGAGCAUAAAACGUGCUGCUCGUGAAAAGGCUGCUACUGAGUUCAAGAGUGUUCAGAGGAGCACAGAGAGAAAAUCGGUGCGAAAUAACGGUGCGUACGUGAGGAAUAAAAAGAAUAAGAAAAAGAAAAUAAGGAGUAGGAGGAGGAGGAGGAGGAGGAAAGGUGAGGGAGAUCGGAUUAAAAUUUUGUCGAGGUCGUACGGAAAUGUCGAUGAACAAAGAUACGGCCCUGAAUCGUACGAUGGCAGUACCCAAGGAAGGGAUUAAGGAAGAGAGGAACGGGAGGGGUCUUUUAGAAAAGAAACUGUCGAGCAGAGUUAAAAAGAAACGCGGGAUAAGAGGUGCCUCACGAUAGUGCACCACUCCAAAAUGAUACGGCUAUUUUUCAGGUUCUGUAUUGGUAGACUCAGCUACAUAAGCUGUAACCAAGACAAUAAAUUAGUUGGGUUAGAAACAACCUAAAAACUAAAAUAAAUUGAAAAUGUAUCUCCUCUUACUAUGGGGUCCAUUGCUGAGUGUCAUAUAAAAUGAAUUAUCCUCAUUACGAGCGUCGAGAUACGGUGGUAAGCCUCCUUUCAGCAUUAGGACUUUCUUCUAUGUACCUUUCGUGUCUGAAAAUUGAAUUGCCUACUACUACGCUGUCUGAAAACUAAAUUAUUACAGCCAUCGAUAUUGUCUUAAUAGUUUAACAGAUUUUAAAGUCAAUAAACAAAAUAAGCCUCCGCAA